AGAGCGAACGCUGGCGGCAGGCUUAACACAUGCAAGUCGAGCGGGCGUAGCAAUACGUCAGCGGCAGACGGGUGAGUAACGCGUGGGAACGUACCUUUUGGUUCGGAACAACACAGGGAAACUUGUGCUAAUACCGGAUAAGCCCUUACGGGGAAAGAUUUAUCGCCGAAAGAUCGGCCCGCGUCUGAUUAGCUAGUUGGUGAGGUAACGGCUCACCAAGGCGACGAUCAGUAGCUGGUCUGAGAGGAUGAUCAGCCACAUUGGGACUGAGACACGGCCCAAACUCCUACGGGAGGCAGCAGUGGGGAAUAUUGGACAAUGGGCGCAAGCCUGAUCCAGCCAUGCCGCGUGAGUGAUGAAGGCCCUAGGGUUGUAAAGCUCUUUUGUGCGGGAAGAUAAUGACGGUACCGCAAGGAAUAAGCCCCGGCUAACUUCGUGCCAGCAGCCGC
rnacentral:rRNA from 1 species